rnacentral:rRNA from 1 species
CUACGGGGUGCACCAGUGAGGAAUAUUGCACAAUGGGGGGAACCCUGAUGCAGCAACGCCGCGUGGAGGAUGACGCAUUUCGGUGUGUAAACUCCUUUUAUAUGUCAAGAAAAUGACGGUAGCAUAUGAAUAAGCGCCGGCUAACUCCGUGCCAGCAGCCGCGGUAAUACGGAGGGCGCAAGCGUUACUCGGAAUCACUGGGCGUAAAGGACGCGUAGGCGGCUUGAAAAGUCAGGUGUGAAAGCCUACAGCUUAACUGUAGAACUGCACUUGAAACUCUCAACCUAGAGUAUGGGAGGGGCAGAUGGAAUUAGUGGUGUAGGGGUAAAAUCCGUAGAUAUCACUAGGAAUACCUAAAGCGAAGGCGAUCUGCUGGAACAUUACUGACGCUAAGGCGUGAAAGCGUGGGGAGCAAACAGGAUUAGAUACCCUAGUAGUC